AAACAAACGACACAACGGAAACACAACGUAAAAAUGUUACACACACAGAAACGAACUAUGAUAUAACAAUGGCCAUUUUUCCUGACUUGGUACAGGACAUUUUUAAAGAAAAAAAUGGUGGGUUGAACCUGGUUUUGUGGCAUGCCAAACCUCGCACUUUGAUGGCAUCGUUAAAUAUAACAUUAAAAUGACAACAUAAUAAUACAGGAC
rnacentral:lncRNA from 1 species